CCUACGGGAGGCAGCAGUGGGGAAUUUUGCGCAAUGGGGGAAACCCUGACGCAGCAACGCCGCGUGGAGGAUGAAAUCCCUUGGGAUGUAAACUCCUUUCGAUAGGGAAGAUAAUGACGGUACCUAUAGAAGAAGCCCCGGCUAACUUCGUGCCAGCAGCCGCGGUAAUACGAGGGGGGCAAGCGUUGUUCGGAAUUAUUGGGCGUAAAGGGUGCGUAGGCGGUUUGACAAGUCUUAUGUGAAAUCUUCGGGCUCAACCCGAAGUCUGCAUGGGAAACUGUCGGGCUUGAGUAUGGGAGAGGUGAGUGGAAUUUCCGGUGUAGCGGUGAAAUGCGUAGAUAUCGGAAGGAACACCUGUGGCGAAAGCGGCUCACUGGACCAUAACUGACGCUGAUGCACGAAAGCUAGGGGAGCAAACAGGAUUAGAUACCCUGGUAGUCCUAGCCCUAAACGAUGAUUGUUUGAUGUGGGGGGUACCCAAUCCUCCCGUGUCGAAGCUAACGCGAUAAACCAUCCGCCUGGGGAGUACGGUCGCAAGGCUGAAACUC
rnacentral:rRNA from 1 species